rnacentral:misc_RNA from 1 species
AAACUCUAUGAAGAAGCAUGGAAGGAUCCACUAAAUGACUCAAUUGUGCCUGAUGGCUACCAUGAAUAUGUUCGCCCAUUGCUGAAGCAGCAGCACCGCAAUGCACGACUCUGAAGAGUGUAAAGGAUUAUGCUUUUGAAUCUCUAUGCUAUAUUGUUGCGAGUCAUAAUGCUAAUAAAGCUGCCCAGAAGGGUCACCAGAAA